UUACUAUAUGAUACUAAACUCAAAUGCACACCUUACAUCUACAUAUACAAUAAAUAUCGGAUAAACUUUAAAUACCACCCUUGUGUUUCGCACUUUCUCAUUUUAGUAGCUUAUCGUUUAAAGUGUAUCAAUUUACUAUCACGUGGUUUUAUUUCUUUAUUUUCGUCAGCUCCUCCAUUAAUAUUUCGUUAAAUUUUAUAUAUAUAUAAAACUUCAAAUACCUCACCUAAGCUUAUCNGGGUAAAAUAUAUAUUGUUGAAAGUCACGGGAAGAAAAUAGAAAAAUAGAUAUUUACAAUUUUUUUUUUUAUAUUGACUUUUUUGUGUUUUUUUUUUUUUUGUGUAAAUGGGCUACCAUGGUAUGUGUGCACUUUUAAGAUCCUUUUCCACUGACUGUUCCUAGAACAAGUGACAAAGGGCUUGGUGGUUGGUAUCCGAGACCCAAGUUUGAAUCCUAAUUGAUUUAUAUUUUCAGCUAUGUUUAUUUCUAAAUGAAAUAAACGAAGGGUAUAGCGUGCUAUCUAUCUCUUUCAAAAAAAAAGAAGAUCCUUUUCCACUUAUGAAUUCUUUUCUCCUAAGCUCUCCUAAUCCCUUAUAAUAUGCAUGCAAUGAUGCAAAGAGUUUUUACUUAGUUGAAUUUGUUUAAUUGUUUGGUCUUUGACAUUUAAAGGCCAAUUUAUUAACUCCUCCAUAUAUGUAGAAUCUGUAGUAUUGCUCUGUGUGUUGGAAUUUGGAAAUGCUAAUCCCAUAAUUGAGAAUUAUUAACUUGAUUAAGCUCAAGGUUUGGUUUGCACUAUUACUAUAUGAUACUAAACUCAAAUGCACACCUUACAUCUACAUAUACAAUAAAUAUCGGAUAAACUUUAAAUACCACCCUUGUGUUUCGCACUUUCUCAUUUUAGUAGCUUAUCGUUUAAAGUGUAUCAAUUUACUAUCACGUGGUUUUAUUUCUUUAUUUUCGUCAGCUCCUCCAUUAAUAUUUCGUUAAAUUUUAUAUAUAUAUAAAACUUCAAAUACCUCACCUAAGCUUAUCAAGCAUUCACUUUAUUAUUUUUUAGUUUUAACGAAAAAAAAAUUAGUAGAAAAAAUAAUAAAAAGAAAAAAUAAAAUCAAGAGAUACUAAAUUGAUACAUUUUAAAUUAUAAGAUACUGAAAUAAAAAAUAAGAAAUGAAAGUUUUUUCAUAAAAAUAAUG
rnacentral:lncRNA from 1 species